UACCAGCACCCCGAGUGGUCGGGACGUUUAUUGGGCCUAAAGCAUCCGUAGCCGGUUCUACAAGUCUUCCGUUAAAUCCACCUGCUUAACAGAUGGGCUGCGGAAGAUACUAUAGAGCUAGGAGGCGGGAGAGGCAAGCGGUACUCGAUGGGUAGGGGUAAAAAUCCGUUGAUCCAUUGAAGACCACCAGUGGCGAAGGCGGCUUGCCAGAACGCGCUCGACGGUGAGGGAUGAAAGCUGGGGGAGCAAACCGG
rnacentral:rRNA from 1 species